CAGGCAACGCAAUUUUAUUCCCUUGUUUUCUAGUGUAAUACUUUUUUAAUCACUUCAGUAUGAUACAAUAACCUGUAGGUCGAAACUUUUGCAGUUAAGUGUAACACCUAUCAGGCCCCCGAGGACUGGAAUUACCCAGGCCUGCCGGGUUUAGGGUAGGGACGUCACACGGAUCCCAGAUAGCACUGACCGUCUCAGCUAUUGGCAACUGUAAUCAAGGGCGAGAGAGGGAGAGAGAGAGAGGAUAGUUACACCUGCUUGGCCUAUCAUUUUAAAGCCCUGUGCUGGGCUCCAGAGGGGCGCGCCACCGGGGUGGAGCCGCUGCUGAAGUUCACCUGAUACAACUUUGAUCUUCACCAGCGGGGGUGGAGAUGAUAUUAUUUAAGGUGUCUCAGCAUCUCCGUGGCAUUGCGCUGUGUGAGGUACACAGUGAAAUUGCAGGUUUAUUUGCGCUAUGCUGGAUGUGUGCCCUUUCUCGCAAGUGCACACACACACUAAACACACACACAAACUCAACACAAACACACAGAUCAUUGAACCCUUCUUGGUUCUGCUCCAUCAGGGUUUUGCCCACAGCUGCAGUGUUGUAAAGCUGCAGCUCAGUGUGCCCACCCUUUGGCUGGAGAAACGUGCCUGCAGGUACCAGUACUGAUACUGAUACCAUAUCAGUACUGGAGGGCCUCAGGGCUAGUGCAGCACAGGUAAUAUACAGUCUUUGUCUAUAUGUUCACUCAUCCUCUCUGCCUGUCUGAUUCUGCCAUGUUGGUGAAAUGGUGAAUCACAGAGUGCUGAAGGUGUGCAGCUGCUGGCCUAAGAGCCUACUGGACAUAGUGAGGAGAGGAGAGUCUUUGUUAUGGAUGACCACAGACUGUUCUCAUUUAUCACCUAUAUACUGUUAUACUACAUGUGGCCCUGAAAGCAUCUCAACCAGCUGAAAUAGGCUGACUCAAAGGAAUACAGUAUCUCAAAGCUUAGACUUUCUGUUAUACAGUAGGCUCAUGUAAUAUACUUUAUACAUUUUCUGUUGUGAGUGUUUCUGAUGCCACUUGGUAAAUGAUAUGCAUUCUGUGCUGUCACAUUAAUGAAGAAGACGAUGUUGAUGCCAUCUACAUUAAAAGACAUUCUGUCUGGCAUCAGCAUAGAAACUAAAACAACGCAUAAGAGA